rnacentral:rRNA from 2 species
CUGACUCCUUGAGAGUCCUGAAGGAACGUUGAAGACGACGACGUUGAUAGGCCGGGUGUGUAAGCGCAGCGAUGCGUUGAGCUAACCGGUACUAAUGAACCGUGAGGCUUAACCUUACAACGCCGAAG